CCUUUUGCAUCAUGAUUUAGCCAGUAAACCCAAGCAAAGAGAACUUUAGUUUGGCCCCCCGAAACUAAGUGAGCUACUCCAAGACAGCCUAAUAUAGGGCGAACCCGUCUCUGUGGCAAAAGAGUGGGAAGAGCUUCGAGUAGAGGUGACAAAUCUACCGAACUUAGUGAUAGCUGGUUGUCUGAGAAAUGGAUAGGAGUUCAGCCUCCCGGCUUCUCACCUCAAUUUUGGUUUAUACUUCAAUUAGAUGUUUAAAGAAACCGAGAGAGUUAAUCUAAGGGGGUACAGCCCCUCAGAUAAAGGACACAACCUUCACAGGAGGGUACAGCCCCUAAAUUAAGGUAAAGUAUCCCGGUGGGCCUAAAAGCAGCCA
rnacentral:rRNA from 1 species